CCUACGGGCGACAGCAGUGGGGGAUAUUGCACAAUGGGGGAAACCCUGAUGCAGCGACGCCGCGUGAGUGAAGAAGUAUUUCGGUAUGUAAAGCUCUAUCAGCAGGGAAGAAAAUGACAGUACCUGACCAAGACGCCCCGGCUAACUACGUGCCAGCAGCCGCGGUCAUACGUAGGGGGCAGGCGUUAUCCGGAUUUACUGGGUGUAAAGGGAGCGUAGACGGUUAUGUAAGUCUGGAGUGAAAGCCCGGGGCCCAACCCCGGGACUGCUUUGGAAACUGUGGAACUGGAGUGCAGGAGGGGCAGGCGGAAUUCCUGGUGUAGCGGUGAAAUGCAUAGAUAUCAGGAAGAACACCGGCGGCGAAGGCGGCCUGCUGGACUGAAACUGACGUUGAGGCUCGAAAGCGUGGGGAGCAAACAGGAUUAGAUACCCGGGUAGUC
rnacentral:rRNA from 1 species